UGCAAGUCGAACGAUGAUGCCAGCUUGCUGGUGGAUUAGUGGCGAACGGGUGAGUAACACGUGAGCAACCUGCCCCUGACUUCGGGAUAACCGCGGGAAACCGUGGCUAAUACCGGAUAUGACGCGCUAUCGCAUGGUGGUGUGUGGAAAGAUUUAUCGGUUGGGGAUGGGCUCGCGGCCUAUCAGCUUGUUGGUGGGGUGAUGGCCUACCAAGGCGACGACGGGUAGCCGGCCUGAGAGGGUGACCGGCCACACUGGGACUGAGACACGGCCCAGACUCCUACGGGAGGCAGCAGUGGGGAAUAUUGCACAAUGGGCGCAAGCCUGAUGCAGCGACGCCGCGUGAGGGAUGACGGCCUUCGGGUUGUAAACCUCUUUCAGUAGGGAAGAAGGCCUUCGGGUUGACGGUACCUGCAGAAGAAGCGCCGGCUAACUACGUGCCAGCAGCCGCGGUAAUACGUAGGGCGCAAGCGUUGUCCGGAAUUAUUGGGCGUAAAGAGCUCGUAGGCGGUUUGUCGCGUCUGCUGUGAAAACGCGAGGCUUAACCUCGCGCCUGCAGUGGGUACGGGCAGACUAGAGUGCGGUAGGGGAGACUGGAAUUCCUGGUGUAGCGGUGGAAUGCGCAGAUAUCAGGAGGAACACCGGUGGCGAAGGCGGGUCUCUGGGCCGUUACUGACGCUGAGGAGCGAAAGCAUGGGGAGCGAACAGGAUUAGAUACCCUGGUAGUCCAUGCCGUAAACGUUGGGCACUAGGUGUGGGACCCAUUCCACGGGUUCCGUGCCGCAGCUAACGCAUUAAGUGCCCCGCCUGGGG
rnacentral:rRNA from 1 species